AGUGAACGCUGGCGGUAGGCCUAACACAUGCAAGUCGAACGGUAGCACAGUAAUAGCUUGCUCUUACGGUUGGCGAGUGGCGGACGUGUGAGGAAUACAUCGGAAUCUACUUUUUCGUGGGGGAUAACGUAGGGAAACUUACGCUAAUACCGCAUACGACCUACGGGUGAAAGCAGGGGAUCUUCUGACCUUGCGCGAUUGAAUGAGCCGAUGUCGGAUUAGCUAGUUGGCGGGGUAAAGGCCCACCAAGGCGACGAUCCGUAGCUGGUCUGAGAGGAUGAUCAGCCACACUGGAACUGAGACACGGUCCAGACUACUACGGGAGGCAGCAGUGGGGAAUAUUGGACAAUGGGCGGAAGCAUGAUACAGCCAUACCGCGUGGGUGAAGAAGGCGUUCGGGUUGUAAAGACCUUUUGUUGGGAAAGAAAAGCAGCAGGUUAAUACACCGCUGUUGUGACGGUACCAAAAGAAUAAGCACCGGCUAACUUCGUG
rnacentral:rRNA from 1 species